CCUACGGGAGGCUGCAGUGAGGAAUAUUGGUCAAUGGACGAGAGUCUGAACCAGCCAAGUAGCGUGAAGGAUGACUGCCCUAUGGGUUGUAAACUUCUUUUAUAUGGGAAUAAAACGUUCCACGUGUGGGAUUUUGUAUGUACCAUAUGAAUAAGGAUCGGCUAACUCCGUGCCAGCAGCCGCGGUAAUACGGAGGAUCCGAGCGUUAUCCGGAUUUAUUGGGUUUAAAGGGAGCGUAGGUGGAGUGUUAAGUCAGUUGUGAAAGUUUGCGGCUCAACCGUAAAAUUGCAGUUGAAACUGGCAGUCUUGAGUACAGUAGAGGUGUGCGGAAUUCGUGGUGUAGCGGUGAAAUGCUUAGAUAUCACGAAGAACUCCGAUUGCGAAGGCAGUUCACUGGACUGCAACUGACACUGAGGCUCGAAAGUGUGGGUAUCAAACAGGAUUAGAUACCCUUGUAGUC
rnacentral:rRNA from 1 species